GCACAAGCGGUGGAUGAUGUGGAUUAAUUCGAUGCAACGCGAAAACCUUUACCUACCCUUGACAUGUCUGGAAAGCCGAAGAGAUUUGGCCGUGCUCGCAAGAGAACCGGAACACAGGUGCUGCAUGGCUGUCGUCAGCUCGUGUCGUGAGAUGUUGGGUUAAGUCCCGCAACGAGCGCAACCCUUGUCAUUAGUUGCUACGCAAGAGCACUCUAAUGAGACUGCCGGUGUCAAACCGGAGGAAGGUGGGGAUGACGUCAAGUCCUCAUGGCCUUUAUGACCAGGGCUACACACGUACUACAAUGGCCGGUACAAAGGGCAGCGACACAGCGAUGUGAAGCCAAUCCCGAAAAGCCGGUCUCAGUCCGGAUUGGAGUCUGCAACUCGACUCCAUGAAGUUGGAAUCGCUAGUAAUCGCGGAUCAGCACGCCGCGGUGAAUACGUUCCCGGGCCUU
rnacentral:rRNA from 1 species